AUAAAGAUCACACUUGUAAACACCGUGUUCGAAGACGCUGCCAUCGUAGGCAGCGAUUGUGGACAACCUUUGUUCAUGACUUCGCUUGCCUGCCGAUUUCAGCAUCAGUCUAUUGAUUUCAAAGUGCAACGAGGAAAUCUAGAUACCAGAUCCAGGUGUUUACUGGAUGAUUUAAUGAUAGCGGAUUAUCUGAUCCUAGGAGAUGGCGUAAAAGCGGGCUAUUUAUACUGCAUAUCAACGAACCAUUACUGUCUCAGGUCGCGGCCAUCUUGCCAGGAAAAGCCGAGAGGAGCGACAGGAGUCGUGCUCCAACCAGCGCUUCGAACAGCCACCAGGCG